rnacentral:rRNA from 1 species
CCUACGGGGGGCAGCAGUAGGGAAUCUUCGGCAAUGGACGAAAGUCUGACCGAGCAACGCCGCGUGAGUGAAGAAGGUUUUCGGAUCGUAAAACUCUGUUGGUAGAGAAGAACGUUGGUCAGAGUGGAAAGCUCAUCAAGUGACGGUAACUACCCAGAAAGGGACGGCUAACUACGUGCCAGCAGCCGCGGUAAUACGUAGGUCCCGAGCGUUGUCCGGAUUUAUUGGGCGUAAAGCGAGCGCAGGUGGUUUAUUAAGUCUGGUGUAAAAGGCAGUGGCUCAACCAUUGUAUGCAUUGGAAACUGAUAGACUUGAGUGCAGGAGAGGAGAGUGGAAUUCCAUGUGUAGCGGUGAAAUGCGUAGAUAUUCGGAGGAACACCAGUGGCGAAGGCGGCUUACUGGUCUGUAACUGACGCUGAGGCGCGAAAGCGUGGGGAGCAAACAGGAUUAGAUACCCCUCUAGUC